rnacentral:rRNA from 1 species
GAAUCGCUAGUAAUCGUGGAUCAGAAUGCCACGGUGAAUACGUUCCCGGGCCUUGUCACACCGCCCGUCACACCAUGGGAGUGGACUGCACCAGAAGUGGUUAGCCUAACGCAAGAGGGCGAUCACCACGGUGUGGUUCAUGACUGGGGUGAAGUCGUAACAAGGUAGCCGUAGGGGAACCUGCGGCUGGAUCACCUCCUU